GUGUCAUCCCAUGUCAAGGUAUUAUGUCUUCCAGUCGCAAGAUCUGGAUCACAGGUGUGCCCUCCGAUUCUGGAUUGCAGUUCACUCCAGAGGCAGUCAAGUUGACAAGAUGGAAUAGCCAUCACCAUGUCCAAGGUGUGAAACACAUCAACAGGAAGUCUUCGAAUUUUCAAGACUCAGUUUCUCUCUGUAGCACUGGCUGUCCUAGAACAUGCUCUACAGACUGGCUGGUUUUGAACUCAGAGAUCCACCUGCCUCUGCCACCUUAGUGCUGGGAUUAAAGGCGCGCUUCACCAUUGCCCCAGCAGUUCACUAUUGUAGCCAAGGAUACCUGGACCCUGACCCCUGAACUCCCUGGAAAUACAUUUUAAAGCAACAUUUAAACAUCAAAUGAAUAAUGAGUUAUCAAGUUGUUUGGAGAGCCAUUCCAAGGUUUAGCAUACCCAGUGGAACAUUUAGAAAGGAAAAGUACUCUCGGGACGAGCUAUAAUUUUGAUCACUGUAUUUUUUAUUUCAAUGUCAUUACAAAUGUUACUUUGUUAGUGCAGUUUUCUUCUCCCCUUUCUGUUGGAAAAUAACACUUCCACUCAGUGCUAUCAUGAAAAGACAUCAAGUUCUUUUGGGUUAGGAGUAAACUAUGCAAAUAACCAUCAAAGGGAUUGGCUGGGGUGUUGAUGAUGUCACAGUCCCACCACCUAAGCCUAACAUUCUUAUUGGCUCUUAUAAGAGCCAGGGAGUGCUGGGAAGGUUCUAUAUCACACCACAGUUGCAGAAAGCCCUGAGCUUAUCUAAAUUUGCAUUUUUUUCUGGUUUCUGUAAAAUGUACUCAGAGCCUUUUGCAGGUAAGUCUGUGUAGCCCUUUAGAACAAUUCAUGUACAAUUCAUCAUCAAAUAAAGGUCUCAUGUUUU
rnacentral:lncRNA from 1 species